CUACGGGCGGCUGCAGUGGGGAAUAUUGCACAAUGGAGGAAACUCUGAUGCAGCCAUGCCGCGUGUGUGAAGAAGGCCCGAGGGUUGUAAAGCACUUUCAAUUGGGAGGAAGGUUAGUAAGUUAAUACCUUGCUAGCUUGACGUUACCUUUAGAAGAAGCACCGGCUAACUCUGUGCCAGCAGCCGCGGUAAUACAGAGGGUGCAAGCGUUAUUCGGAAUUACUGGGCGUAAAGCGCGCGUAGGCGGACUGUUAAGUCGGUUGUGAAAGCCCUGGGCUCAACCUAGGAACUGCAUCCGAUACUGGCAAUCUAGAGUUUAAGAGAGGGAAGUGGAAUUCCAGGUGUAGCAGUGAUAUGCGUAGAUAUCUGGAGGAACAUCAGUGGCGAAGGCGACUUCCUGGCUUAAAACUGACGCUGAGGUGCGAAAGCGUGGGUAGCGAACGGGAUUAGAUACCCUUGUAGUC
rnacentral:rRNA from 1 species